rnacentral:rRNA from 1 species
UAAGAGGUCCCGCCUGCCCUGUGACUAUAUGUUCAACGGCCGCGGUAUUUUGACCGUGCGAAGGUAGCGCAAUCACUUGUCUUUUAAAUGGAGACCUGUAUGAAUGGCAUAACGAGGGCUUAACUGUCUCCUCUUUCAAGUCAAUGAAAUUGAUCUCCCCGUGCAGAAGCGGGGAUACACCCAUAAGACGAGAAGACCCUGUGGAGCUUUAGACACCAAGACGGCCCCCACGUGGUAACAAACCCAAAAUAAAGAGCUGAACCACGUACCCUCCCCGUCCUAAUGUCUUUGGUUGGGGCGACCGCGGAGUAAGACUAAACCUCCACGUGGACUGGGAAUACCCUCAUAACCACAACCAAGAGCUUCAGCUCUAACUAACAGAAUUUCUGACCUAUAAGAUCCGGCAAUGCCGAUCAACGGACCGAGUUACCCCAGGGAUAACAGCGCAAUCCCCUUUUAGAGCCCAUAUCGACAAGGGGGUUUACGACCUCGAUGUUGGAUCAGGACAUCCUAAUGGUGCAGCCGCUAUUAAGGGUUCGUUUGUUCAACG